rnacentral:lncRNA from 1 species
UAUGGCACCAAGGAUUAAAAACUGAUGAACUUGUACAGAUUUAAUUUAUAGAGAAUGUCUGAGCUUAUCUGUGCAGGUGGUCAAGAGGAAUAUAUGAAAUACAGUGAAAGGUAAGGUGUGUAAAGCAGAUACUUUUUGAGUGUUUUUGUGCUGUAUUAUUUUAAGGUCAGCUAUUAGGAGCUAUGUUUUCAUUCUGUCUCUCCUGUUCCUUCAUCCUCACCUAUUUUACCUCUUCCUAUUUGCCUCUCUCUUAAUUUCUAUUCUCCUCUCCUCCCUCUACCUUGUGACAGGACCAGCAUCCCCAACUGACAAACCUGACAUCAACUCAACCAUUCCAAAGACCACCUGGACCUCCGAUCCCAAUGUACUCCCCAUCAUGCACUUCUCAAACCAAUGCAUCAACUGCUCUCUCCAUCCAUAAUAGCCAAUUUGGAGGACUUUCCUCCUGCCAAUCUUGGACUGCUCUUCCAUGUUUAAUUAAAUCUGGGUCCUCCAUCAGCAGUCAAUUUUCCAUGACGUCGAUGAAUAUAACUCCAUCACCUUCAAAUUCUUUAGCGGUGACCCAGCCCAAACUGCGAGUCAUUCCUGAGACACAGGAACCAGCUGAAUGGCAAAUCAACUCUCCUUCAACUUUUGUGGAUCAGAAAUCCCUAUCAGACAACCUGGAAUGGAAAGUUGCAUCCACCGACAAGAAGUCAUCAUCUUUCCUAAAACCAACUCAAGUGAAUGUUGUACCAACCACACAAAUUUUCAGUUCUCAGAGCUCCCAGGGACAGAUACUUCCCAUCUUUAAAAGUAGCAUUCAGAAGCUCACCAGUGUUUUUCCUCCAACAUCUCUUUCCAAUAACCACAAGGUGAACAGCUUUGCACAGCAUGUACUGGCAGGUGGAGGUCUUGGUACUAAUCAUCACAGUUGCAGUCCUAAAGGUUCCUUCCAAAAAGUGAAACCACCCUUUGUGCCACGUUUCAAACCAAUUUUGUUGCAUACAAAACAGGUUGUUAGGAAGAAAGAAGGGGAAAAUGACAAAGAAAAGGAAUAUACCACACAAAAAAGCAGCAGAACAGCGAAUCCAUUUGAGGUUUCCAGCAAUACUUCAAUUGCACGUUCUAGUUUUUUCCCUGAAAAAUUCAAGCGAAAACAUGAGGAGGACAUCAGCAUUGUGAAAAAGAAAAGGGUUUGCCCAAAACCAGCUGUUCAGGAUGUGGACAUUGCAAAGUUUGCUGUUAAUGUUCAGUCGGGAAAAGUUACGACUGCUACUUUGAUCUCUUGGUUGAAGACCAAAGGUAUUCCUGUUCAUUCAAGGGAGAAAAAGGAGAUUUUGAUGAAAAAGGUUCAAGAAUACAUUGCCACUCAGAAACCUGAAAUGUGAUCAAUAUUUGUGAGCUUGUGUUUGUUGGGUGUAGUUCAGUUCUCAGUAUUCUCAGUCAUUAAAUUUGUUACAACUUGAUGCAAUAGCUUUAACUAACUUUAUUGUGCAAUGUUGGCUUUAAAUGGAAUUCACCUGUAUUUCCAAAAGUAACUGGACAACACACACAAAGUUGGAAUGAACCCUUCCUACCGGACUGCAUAUUUUCACACAAUGUACAAAGGACGUCCUUUAUAAAUGUGUGCAACACCAACUGAAACCCGGUUGUAAUUAAGAUCGCAUGAGGUAAUGAGCGGACUGAAAUUUAACAUGGAAUAGUUGUUGGAUAACAGAGUUCCAUGGUAUUUCCAAUACAACUGUGAGUCAAUUAUUGUCAAUCGAUCAACUGUGAGUGAUGUCUUGAGGUAAUUAUUUGUUUAAUUUUUUUAAGCGACACGCACACAUUAUAACUGUGAGCAGUUAUUCCAGGGCCCAAGCCCUGGCAUAAUUCUAUCCGUUAUGGGUGCCAGACCACGUAACAUAUGAAGUUUACAUUUUCAAACUAUAUUCCCCAUGGGUAGUCCAUCAUAUUUAUGGUUUCACAUUCAUUGGUUCAGCAGUUUGAGAGAAGAUGAUUUUUUAAUACUUUACAUUCGAUCCAACAUGGUUGCCUGAUCACAUGACUGAUGACGUUUCAAUUUCCAAUCUAUAUUCCCCAUGAAUAGUCAAUCAUAUAUAUGAAGUUUUUUUUAUCCAUCAAUUAAAUGGUUCAGGAGAAGGAAUCAUUUUUAGGUUUUUGUUCAAUCCAAUAUGGCUGCCAGACCACAUGACCGUGAUGUUUUGUGAUAAUACUUUUAUCCCCAUGGAUAAUCGAUACUAUAUUUAGUUUUGUAUCCAUUAGUUCAGCAGUUUGAGAAGAUUUUUAAUCCAU